GCUCCCAGAGCAUUUAGUGAAUUCGUGCUUUCAGCCGACGGAGCCCUCAUCCAUCCUAAGUAUUCAGGCAGCCUCUGGGGGAAGGAAGAAGGAAGAAAGACUUUUUUUCUUGUCGUUGUAGUGAAAUUGCUUUAAUCCAUUCAUGAACCUUUAUCUGGUUUCCCUGGUCAUGAACAGAACAUAAAUUCACGAUGGCUGGCCAGAAAAAAAAACUUAUGCUGGAAAUACCAUCCUUUAUUCGUCUUAUCAUAGGUCAGCUUUAUAGGGUUUUCACCACUACUUCACAAUGCAAUCCCUGUUUUUUACAAUGGGUGUUAUCACCACAGAAAUUUUCUUUCAAAGUAAAGUCGAUCAGAUACAUUCUAGAAUGUUCUUUUGUCAUUCAUGGCAGUGCUACAAAAAAAUUGGGUCCAGUGAUUUGUUGGAAUAGAUGCAACACCUCUGGCAUAAAGUGAACACUGCUGAACAAAUGCUAAGUAUGGAAACUCUUCUGUUUAUGAGCUUUUGGGUUUUCAACAGGCUGCUCCCAAGUUCAUUUUUUCUUAAUUAAAGGCAACAUGGUAUAAAAAAUUGCUCUCCACCUGCGAGUGAUAGGCUGAGUUGUGAUUUUGCUCCUCAUGUGGGAGGCGUGUUUAAAUACUGAUUUUUGGGUCCCUCCCCCAUUAACUGACACAGUGGGUCUUGGGGAGGGAGAUGUGGGUUCAUACUGAAUAUUUUCAUUUCUAACAAGUUCCCAGGUGAUGCUGAUGUUGCUGCUUGGGGACCUCACUUUGAGAGUCACUGCUUAGCAGACAGUCAUCUUGGUCAACUCUUAGGUCGAAAGUUUGAAAGAAGAGAUUUCUGUACUAAUUUCAGCUUUACUUUCUUUGAAGAUUAGACACUAGAGGGCAGUGUGACCACAGCACACACACUAAAUCGAGCCUAGUGAUUUCCAACUAGUCUAAACUACUGCUUCAGCCCAGGCAUCUUUGAUUUUAACUGUUUUGUUUAUUGAUGUUUCACAUUGGAAUAUAUAUGUAAGAAAGGUUCUGCUGCUAAAAAUAACUUUAAAAGCUGCACUCUCUCCAGUCCCUUCUUUGUAAAGUCAUAGAUCCUGUUAUCUGGAGAGCUGGGGCUCUGGGGGGAGUGUGUGUGAUUUUAUGUCCCAUUAUUCAGACAAUUUUAUUUUUUUAAUUUUUAAAGAAUUUUUUAAAAAUUAAUUUUUAUUGGAGUAGAGUUGACUUACAAUGUUGUGUUUCUUCUGUACGACAAAGUGAAUCAGUUAUACAUAUACAUAUAUCCACUCUUUUUUGUUUUCUAUUCCCAUACAGAUUAUUGAGUAGAGUUCCCUGUGCUAUACAGCAGGCAGGCCCUUAUUAGUUAUCUAUCUUAUAUAUAGUAGUGUAUAUAUGUCAAUCCCAAUCUCCCAGUUUAUCCCUCCCUGGCACCUUUCCUCCUUGGUAACCGUAAGUUUGUUUUCUACAUCUGUGACUCUAUUUCUGUUUUGUAAAUAAGUUCAUUUGUACCAUUCUUUUAGAUUCCACAUAUAAGUGAUAUCAUAUGAUAUCUAAUUCAGACAACUUUAGAAUUGAAAGAUGGGUUAGCUCUUUGAGGCUAGCAUUUCUUAAGUGCUUUCAAUGAACCCAAGUUCAAUAACAAUGGAAAUAGGGUUUUGAGACCAAGUAAGUUCGGAAACAUUGGAUUAAAUAAAGUUAUACAGGUUCCUUUACUGGAAUGUUCCUCAGAGCCUUUAUUUGUCAACUGGAAACCACUGCGAGGGGGUUGUAGAAUGCAGGGUGACUGUGGGUAUUUUGGACAGGAAUCAAUGAUCUGGUCCUAAUCCUUCAUCUUUUCCAGAAGGAACAGAGACCAGUAGAUAAAAUGACUGCUGGGCAGGGACUUUCCACAGGAUCAAACACCUACAGGACUGUGUGCAGUGACAGUGCCCAGCCCAGUCACAUGCAACUCCCUGUGGGCCCUUGGGUCUUCAUUUCCACUUGUUGGAAUAUCUUUCCUCCAGGUACCUGCAGGCCAUGCCCCAUCCCUUGGUACAGACUGUGUUCAAAUGCCCCUUAUCAGAGACAACUUCUCAGACCACCCUGUUCAAUAUGGCCCUUCUGAUGUCAUCCUCUGUUUUCUUGCCUUGCUUUGUCACCACCUGUUAUAUAUGAAUAUGCUUAAUCGUUUUUAUCUGUUUAUUCCUUCUAAAAUAGAAGUGCUAUAACGGAAGGGAUUUUUUAAAUUGAAGUAUAGUUGAUUUAUAAUAUGUGUUAAUUUCAGGUGUACAGCUAAUGACUCAGUUUAUAUACGUAUAUGUAUAAUCUUUUUCAGAUUCUUUCCCAUUAUAGGUUAUUAUAAGAUGUUGAAUAUAGUUCCCUGUGCUUUACAGUAAAUCCUUGUUGUUUAACAGAAGGGACUUUAUCCAUCUUGGUGUCUGCUAUAUUCCUAAGUAGAUGCUUAUUAACCUUUUUUGGAUAAAUUAACUCAUGCUAUCUAAGUAUAUAAGAUUGAUUAUUGUAUCAGUCAGGGUUCUCCAGAGAAACAGAACCAAUAGGAGUUCAAUAUUAUGUGUUAAAAUGGUAAAAACUGGAGUGCUUUAUGAAAUAGUUCUAACAGGAUCCAGAUAAUCUGAACACUCUUUAAAUUUAUAAGAAAAUUUCCACUUGCAUUUCUGGGGUUAAAAGUCCAAUAAUAUCUAACACUUUUUAGUUUAAUGGUAUUUUAUUUUUAUACCCUCUGGUUAUGUUAGAGAAUAUUCUUACAGGCUUCAGGAAGUUUGAAUUUAAAUAUUUUUAAGAUAAUGGGUAUUUACAUUUAUGUAAAGGCAUUUCUGAGAAGGAAGUCUACACCGGGUUUGACUGGGAUUAAAAAUAAUGUUAUAACCAGUGUUAUUUCAAUGAAAAUAAAAUAAAAAUAAAAGUAACAGGAUGGGGCUUCCCUGGUGGCGCAGUGGCUCAGAGUCCGCCUGCCGAUGCAGGGGACACGGGUUCGUGCCCCGGUCCAGGAAGAUCCCACAUGCCGCGGUGCGGCUGUGCUCGUGAGCCAUGGCCACUGAGCCUGCGCGUCCGGAGCCUGUGCUCCGCAACGGGAGAAGCCACAACAGUGAGAGGCCCGCGUACAGCAAAAAAAAAAAAAAAAAAAAUAUAUAUAUAUAUGGCAGGAUGAACAUAAGGAAAGUAUACAGUUGGAAAUAAUUAAAAGCAGAAGUUAACAAACAGAAAAUAAAGAGAUGACAAAGGAUUAAGAACUCAUUGUGACUUAAUGGGUGGCCUUAAAAGACAAUGUGUUCAAGAAAAUCUGCACCAAAUUUUUCAAUAAGCGUACAGCUUUCUUAAAGGAAAAGAUAACUGCCUUGGAGAACACUGGUCAUUUAAAAACCUUCCCCUCUCGGAACGUCACAGGAGUGCCUCGAAUGGGCAGACUGACCUGCAGCCCUACAGGGAAGUGAACCCAGGCAAAUGUCUUUCCAGGCUUCUCCGAUGCAGGAGGGAGGGGCCCCCGGAAGGUGGUGGUGGUAGUGAUGAUGCCGAGUUGCCAACAAACAAGGAAGCACAGGAUCUUUCCAAGUUGUUUUUGAGGUGAACUGCCUUACAGGGAUAAGCUCUACCUUGCCCGCCAUGCUGAGUCUCAGAGGGCUUUAUCUUUUCUCCUUGAAUCACAAGACCCCUCCCACACUUCUCCUGCUGACCAUGAGGUGUUUCUGCCAGAGGGAAGUGACAGGAAGACCGUUUGCUCAGAACAGCCAACAGACCUUUGAUCUUGGGAGGAUGGGCAGAGAGGCCAGAGUCCAGGACUGCAGAGAAGAGCUGAGGUUUUCGGCAGUCAUCAGAGGAUUCCUUGCUUCUGAUUGAAUAGAUAAAGUUUGAAGUCCAAGAAUCUGCACAUUUACAAAGCAGUAGUUUUACUGAUGGAGUGGUCACAGUUUGUAGCAGCAGACCAAGGGACACUGCAUUUCAUCCUCUCCAUUGGCCCAGGUCUCCCAAAGACAACCCCCUGAGCGUCCCUGUGGUCUGCUGCCACCAUCGCCACACCUGUAGCUGCAACUCGUAUGGUUGCGGGUUUGGGAAGGGCUGUUGCCAGCAGAAGAGCUGCUGCCGGAAGCAAUGCUGCUUCUAAGUGGCCUGGCCCGGCCCUGGGGUAAGAGAUGCUGGAAGCUGUUCUCUGCAGUUAAGGAGACUUCCCUUCCUCUUCCCCCUUGCUGUCACCUGGAUCUCCUGGGACUUACUCUUUUGGACAAUAUCUCUGGUUUUUGAACUCUGUGCUCCUCUCAAAAUGAUGGUCUUAAACCUUUUUAUUUGAAAAACAUUCCAAACAAACAAGAAAUGGUUUGAAAAAAAUUCCAAACAAACAAGAAAUGGCCAUUACAGAGCUGUAAACCCAGCCAAAGGGAUCACCGUUCUGAGUGUUCUAUCUGAUGGGUGUUUUGCAGCCUUCCAACUUGGUACUUCUACCUCUCUGUGUGCACACUAUGUCUAUUACUCUUACCUGCUCUAGUCCUAUUACUAUUGUUUCCAGUCAUCACAUAGCUCCUGCCUAAAUUUCCUAAUAAAACAUGAAAACCGACCCUCAGGAAUUCUGCUUUUAUUCUGCUAUGGCAGCAACAGCUUUCCAUCUUCUUGAAAAAUUUGAAUGACCCACAUGCAGAGACAGCAAGGCACGCACAGGGCUUCUGGGGUCCAGGCCUCCCAGCCACACGCCGUUUUCCCAUCUCAUGAGAUGGAUGAUUCCGUAAGAUAAUUCAACUCCUGCUACCUUGUGUACCUCUUCCCUAAAGGCCCUGUGACCCUGCUUAUCUGUCAAAAGUGCAUCACAUUCCUCCAGUGACAACUUUCUCAACCAGAUCUACAGAUUUCACCUAUGUCAAGGCCUAAAUAUAGGCAAAGGGCAAGUCCAAACAAGCUAGAACUAUCACCUUAUUUAUUUCUUCUCAGAAAUGGCUAUUGUCUUGCCAUUUCUAUCCCCUUAUUUCUGUUAUUUGUCUAUGAGUUCUGUUUCUGUUGUUGUUUCUGAGUCAUUCUAUGUACAAAACAAAACAUUUAAAAUAUUUCUCCAUAAGGUGUUCUUACCAGUCACAAAACCCUACACCUUACAAAGCAAACCUGUGUUUUAAUUCAAAGGAGUAAUAAUCUUUCUCUUUAAUGAGAU